UUGUUUCACUUCUGUAGCACAUAUACUCAAACUGGCUUAAUACAGAGUUUACUUAGCAUGACCCCUGCUCAAUGCUGACAAGCAGAUUCAUGAAGAAUUCUAUAUUUUG